rnacentral:tRNA from 1 species
UCCGGUAUGGUGUAACGGCUAACAUUGCCGCCUUUCAUUCUAUGAUCGCGGCAGCUCGGGGUUCGAUUCCCCGUACCGGAA